AAACGCACAUUACGCCCCUUAGUAUCCCGAGGGGCAUGCCCGUUCGAGCGUCAUUAUAACCCCUCAAGCCUAGCUUAGUGUUAGGGCCUACUGUUACCGGCAGCCCUUAAAAUCAGUAGCGGUGCUAUCUAGCUCUAAGCGUAGUAAUACUUCUCGCUACAGGGUCCUGGUGGAUACUUGCUAUCAACCCCUAAUUUUCUAUAGUUGACCUCGGAUCGGGUAGGGAUACCCGCUAAACUUAA
rnacentral:misc_RNA from 1 species